GGUACAUAAAGCCACCUGAGAUUCUCAGAGGGCUAGUAUAUCCUCAGGAGCAAACAUCCAGGACAGGACAAGCAUCGCUGCCUUGUAAAGGUUAAUCCAGCAAUUGUCAAGAUGUGUUUCUUGAAUAGUGUUUUCAAUGCACUGAGAUGUGUGUGCAGGACAAUAAAGUGCAUUUUUUACAAGAUCAAAGAAUGUGCUGAGCACCAGUUUGGGCCACCCAAGGUGCUAAUUGAAAAGCAAGACUAAAGCAGGAUGGAACACCUGCUCAUUUUCAUCUGCGAUGGACUCCACUGUCCCUUGUCCCCCCAAACCGGCAAUAGCAUGGAUAUCCCCCUGACUGUUAAGGGGCUCUGUGUUAUGUAAAUACAAAAUUCCAAAGGAGAAUAAAGCUUGCUUGGAUCUGAA